rnacentral:ncRNA from 1 species
CCCGCCAGCGAAUGGCAUCUGCGGAACCAGAACCGCGAAAGUGGCGGGAGCGCUUGAAGAAGCUCGCAGUGUUGUUGUGCGCGGUGAAAACCUGCAAAGCGCAAAGGGUAAACAAAUCUUGGCAUAGGCCGACGGGAACAACACUCCCGCCGGUUUUUG